rnacentral:misc_RNA from 1 species
GCUGCUACCGAUUGAAUGGUUUAGUGAGGACUCCUGAUUGGCGCCGCCGCCCCGGCAACGGAGCAACGGACUGCCGAAAAGUUGUUCAAACUUGAUCAUUUAGAGGAAGUAAAAGUCGUAACAAGGUUUCCGUAGGUGAACCUGCAGAAGGAUCACGAUUGGACGCGCACACGUACGAACUCCAGUUACGCGCCCUUCUCACGUAUGCUGCCUUUUGAUUGAAAAAAAACACACGUCUUAGCUAGAUGUUCACGCGUCGUGGUCAUCUGCGGUACAU